rnacentral:lncRNA from 1 species
UUGUGUUGUGGGGUAGAAAGCAUUUCAAAGGCAGGGCCCGACUCAGGGUUACAGUGCUGAAAACCCUGUGUGUUUGUUUUGUGUGGAGUGCCAAGCCAGGCAUCCACAGUCUACCAUCUUCGGGGUGAAAUGGUGAAGACGAGUUCCAGGUAGUGCGAAUAGCCCCGGCUUUAAUUUUUCUACUUUCUCUCUCUAGGCGGCCCUUGUGUCAUGCUCAAUCCGCCACAGAAGAAGUGGGAGUGGAGCAUGGUUCUCUUAUUCUGCUUGGUAUGAUGAGGAGCUUUCACUGAAGACUGGAGUUCCCCGGUUGUUUUUCCUUCAGUCGCCAGGCAAUGGAAUACCUCUCAGAAGGGGUAGCGAGCAAAGGACCAGCGUUCAGCGAGGAGCAUGAGCGGCAGUACGCUGAAGUAGGAGCACUAGCUCUUGUGAAAAAUCUGCGGACUAGGGGGCUAGUAAAGAGGGAGAGAUGCCCAGAGAGCAUACAGCUGUUUCGGUCGAGCGAGAGCGAGUUCUCCGGCGGCUGAAGAGUGGUUCUUGAAUCGGACAGAUGAUGUUCCAUCCUCUUUUCUGCCAAUCACCCAAAGAUGAGGACAACACCCAAACUGGCACGAUAACAGCACUGUAUAAGAAGAGGACCCAAUGGUUCCAAAAGGCCUGGUGUUGCUCUUCCGCCGUCCGCCCAGAGUCUGCCGCAGCUAUUUGGACAGCAACAGGUGAAAAGGUGAGAGGAGGUUGCUGAAAUCCAUAUGACCAAGACACACCUGUCUGUCCAGGAGACGGAUACCUCACCAGAUAUGUUUUCCCUGCCAUAGUUGUGAUAAUUGGAUUUUCUGGACACCUGUAUGAGUGCAGUAUAUCCAGCGGAUUAUAACCAGGGAAAGGGUGUCUUUCUGACAUUCUUGAUGCACAUCCAAUGAUGAGUGGGUGAUGGAGGUCCCUCUGCUGUAACCCUGACCUCCAGAGCAUAAUGACCGCUCCAAAGACAGGACCUAAGGAAAGAUGAGUCAAAUGAAACCCAUCUAGACACCACUGCUUCUGCUGCAAACAUGAUGGCAUGAUCUGUCUCUGUGAAGACAAAAACUAUGUACCUGUUGUGCAAUUCUCAGAUCAUAUGGUUCAUUUUGAAACGGUUAAACUGAAACAGUGAAACGUUUUACCAAUAGAGGUUACGCUGCUUAUGAUAUGAACUGUAUCGUCCGUUGAUGUAUUAUAUUUCAUGAUGUUACAUAUCUUCAAUAAAUGUAUUGGUGUAUUUGGUAGAAAUAUUGAGCAUUACAAUAUUUGGAAACUGGGGUAGGGAGUUCACAACCAGAGCUGGGGAAGGUAAUUGCAGGUUUUUGUUCCAGCCCUCCAGGACAGAGAAUACCCCCCUACACACACCAUUUGCCGCUGUAGGUUUAGAGAUCUACAGAUGGCCUCUGUAAAUAUCUGAAUAAGGCUAGCCUCUACCGUGUAAAUGAUAACACCAUUUCUGGUCAUAAUUUAUCUAAAUUCAGGACAUUGUGGGGUAACUCUAUCCUCCAGUAUGGUGUGUGUUAUCGUAUAUUGUUCAUGUUGUAUCACUGCAACCCUCAGGUGAUGAAACGGUCUGCCCUCUCUCGCUCUCCUUUUUCUCCAAGCUCCCAGGACAGCUUUCAGCCAUGGAUAUUCAUCCCCUUUAUUUAAAACACACACGUUCCACUGCCUACCGGUCAUUCAUCACUGCCAACUAGAGUGGGUAUGUGUGGCCAUUUAGGCUUAUUGAUUAGCCAUAUCAUUCACAGAUAUCUCUCUCAAGUAUUUACUGUGUACAUCAGCAAACAGGAACCACACAGUAAGUGGAUAUACCUCCUCACUCACACUUGAAUAUCCUCUGAGAAGAACCCAAGCAGGAAGCGUUCUCUCUGGGGGUGUCAAGUCAAGCCCAGGAGAUGGUCAGCAUCAUGACACUAAGGAAGACCCUUGAGAACCAAUCGAAGGCCCAUCUGUGUUCAGCACAGAGUGAAUCCUGUGUUUCCAGGUUUAAACUGAACGUUAUUAAAACAAGUGGGCCGAAAGGUCAGGAGAGAGCAGCCCACAAAAACAAACAAUUCAUUUGGCAUGGAGGUGUAAUGGGAUGAGAUGUGGGCUGGGGCCGGGCCUAUUGUUCUGCUGGAAUUAACCGUGGCAGGUCAUGUGUCACUGGGCACUGACCCCGGCCCCAUUCAGGAGCCCAAACUCUGCAUUAGCCACGGCCCAAAGAGAGGUCAAACAUAGUCACAAACCAGGCACACACACAGCCAGUUCUGACCAGGGCAGCACUUACAAAACAAAGAGGGGUAUUACCAUGCGGUGGUUGUGACACUGGCGGCAUCAAAGCCUUUGUGACUCAUCCGUUGGCCUGAAUCUGUUGGACUGGUGCAUAUUGGAGACAUUAAGCAUGAACGACAUACACCUAAAUACUCCUAUUUCAUCUGUGCAAAGUGUGUGAGCCGGAGGUGACUCCACUCCCCAUUCCCACAUCCAUACCUGGCUGAGGUGGAGAGUUGGAAUGAGAGUACAGAGUACAGAGUGAGUCAGAGGAGUGGGUUUGGUUCCUGUGGGGCCUGCUUGGGCAUACACUCAGACCACCCAUCAGGAUUGCUUUGUGCGGUCUAGUCUGCAUGCUUCUUUUCCUCUCUGCAGCAUGUCAGUCUCCUUGCAUGUGAAGCCAAUCGCUCGGCUGUUGUAGGCGUUUACAUUUCCACCUGACAGAUGCCUGGUGGAACAGUGGCAUGUUGUAAAAACAUCUGAUCCUUUAGCUGCAGGCUACAGAUACUGCUAAUUGAAAAAUGACCUCCCUCGAGUCAUGAACGCCUAUUACAAUAUUAUUGUUGCACAGUGCAAUCACAUUCUAUAAUUUCUCAAGACUUGGCUGCUUUGCCUCGUUUCACUGACAUUCCUCCUCUGUCCACUCGAGCGUAUAAUCACAACAUAUUUAUUGAUUAGAGGACAAACAGUAGCUAGCUCAACUGGACGGUAUCCUUUGUUUUAUUCCUAUUCAGCAUGGUGGCAGCAGUACUUCUCCCAGGUAGCUAGAUGACAGCCAGCCACAGCUAAAGCAGGCCUUUUCUCCAGCAUGGCUCUGCUGUCUCUGCCCUAAUUGAUUGGAAGGGGAAAGGCAGAACAGCUGCCCCAAAGCGCACAGCCAGAAUUAAAACUUCAAUCCCACUGCCGAACACUCAAUUUCAUCCAUGAUCCAGCAUUAUACAAAUGAGUUGAGAACAGACAGACAGGUGUAUGGUUCCCCAGUAGGGUCCCUGGGCACACUGGCCUCAGAACCACAAACUGCUCCCCUCUCUCUCCCAGCAGCACCAGGUCCUCUGUGCUCCCUAUGUGCUCCCUCUGUGCUCCCUACCUUCCUCCAGACAGCCUCCAGCCAAAACUACAACAGGCCAAUUCUAGUUUUUAGGGGAUCAAUUCACAGCACUUUUCAUUUAGGUAAGAAUCAACAAGAGGGUGUAACACUUAAAUCAUCAUCAGCCCAGUAGCUUUGCCUGCCAUUUCUGGGCCCUCUUCCACACACAUACAUUAACCAGAAUAUGCUAUAAAAUGUGUAGAAAUACUAGCCCACCAGUAAGCAGUAAGAACACGCAUAACUUUCACAGAGGACAACAAAGGAGAUGGAUAUGCAAAAGCUCAGAAUAUGUUAGAAAGUCACUGGGAUAGUUAUAGUUUUACACGACCAGUUUUAAAUUACAACUGUUUUUAAAGGUGAUAUUAGAUACAACAGAUACAUUAAGAGUGAAUUGUGUCAAAAUAACACAAAGUAACUUAUGUUUUUGACUGCUCUGGGCCUUUAAAAAUUUAUUGUCCUGUGUUUUAUAUAUAUUUCCACACUGAGGUUGGAAUAAUAGUGUGAAAUUGUGACAAUUAUGAUAAUGCCCUUUUAGUGUAAGCUGUUUGAAAAGACUGCCUGAAAUUGAAUCAUGUUUUGGUGGGAUGGCAUUUUGGCCUGCCUGCUAACAUCACCAGGCGGUAAAUUAGUUAAUAGACCAAUAAGAAAGAGAGUUCCAAACCUCUCUGCCAAACCUCUCUCUCUCUCCCACCCAGACCACUCCCAGACAGUCCUAACAAAAUUCUUGCUUGAGAAAUUUCUCUUUGCGAAGAAGCCAUUUUUGUUUAUUUUUGACCAUUUUAAUUUAAAACAAAUCACAGUAAGGUACUUAAUUGUUACCCAGGAAGGAUUUGAUAUUGAGAUAAAAAUGGCUGAAGUGGACCUUUAAGAAUCAUAACACAAUUCAGAAAUACAUUUGUAAAAAUCAACACAUUAUUGCAUCAACAUAAGCUAGACAGUGUACUGUACAGUUCAGCCAGUAGUCCAUAAAGAAGCAAUAUGUUUGCAUAAUAGUGACAUUUCUUCUGACUGUAUUAAGGAAUCUUGAUAGUUGCACAUGUGGCCUUUUCAGUGGCGAGAUGACUGGACACAUUCUUCUGAGUGCGGUGGGUCCAUGCAGCGGGCAGCCAGGCAAGGGUGAACAGAGUAGGAUCUUCACUACUAGGGCCAACACAGGCCGACUGUGUUCUCUUUUUGACUGGACGAUUGUCCUGCAUGGGACACAAGGAUCAGCCAAUCACUUAGAACCACUUUUUUUGUUCAGCUGCAACAACAAACACCAUCUUUUGACUUACUGGUUUGUACUGGUUAUAGUACAGUUGUCCAGAGGGGUUGAAACCUUUUGUGUAAGGAUUGGGAUACACACAAUGGUUUCUCAACAUAACAAGAAAACGUCUGAGUUAUUAAAUAUUGUAUCAUUGUUCCCACUUGAAAACCUGAUCAUGUACGGCAAAUGCUUUACCUAAUGAAACAUUUGUUAACAUUCUUAAAUGGACUCAUUAAAAUGUGUGAGUGUAAUCAUGCAUAAACAAAAGAAGAAGUGAAAGCUUCCCUCCACAGUUGUCCUCAUGUUGACAUAGAACUGAGUGCUCGGCGAAAUCGGCUUGUCAGGGGCCUUGUGUAGCGUGUGACAAGAAUCUUUGUAGUCAACAGAUCAUACUCAGACCCCAGCGCUACUUGCUUUCUGGUGCUGCAUACAAACUGAAUGAAUGGGAACCGGCUAGUCCCUUACUCCAAACAUUCAUCACAACUGUGCCAAACUGGGCCCAGGAUACAGAGCUCUGAAAUACAUCUUUGUCCCAAUGUUUUACAUUUCAAAAUUCACAAAAGUCAAUAAAACAAAGAUGGCCAUCCAUCUCAUAGGAGCCUGAGAUAACCUAUAAAGUCAUCACAACAACAUUUACCAACACCUAUUGUACUGUUGAAUAAACAUAAACCAUAAUCAUAUUCAAGCAAUAUGUAUUAUAUCAUACACUACACAAAAAUAGAUUAUGGCUACAUUGCAAACCCAGUAAAAAGCAUAUAAAAGGAUUCAUGUAUACAUUUCACUAAAUUAUGCUACAAAUGUAUUUUUAUCCUUAUUCUGAGUGGUUGACUAUUUAAUUUAAAAAAAUCAUAUUUGACUAUGAUCCUGCUUUUAUUGUGUUUAGUAAAGUUGAGUUGUUCACAGUGAUUCAUAAAAACAGUUUUAUAAAUAGAGAAGAGUAUCUGAGAGGGAAGUUGACUAAUUCAAUCUAGUAAUUAAUGGUGAUUUUUAAUCACCAUGGGUUUGGUGAUUAAUAGAGUGAUUGGUACCGUACAGCAGUAUCAGGGGUUCACUUCAAACGUGCUCGUCUACCAGAUCACUACAUGUCUGGGGACACCAACCUGUUCCAACACAGAACAACCAUGUCUUCACUGGACAACCUCUCUGCCUUUUCCUCUUAUAAUAUAUACUGUAUAUUCCUAAUACUGUGUUGCACCCCCCCAUUUUGCCCUCAGAACAGCCUCAAUUUGUCAGGACAUGGACUCUACAAGUUGUCAAAAGCGUUCCUCAUGGAUGCUGGCCCAUGUUGACGCUAAUGCUUCCCACGGUUGUGUCAAGUUGUCUAGAUGUCCUUUGGGUGGUGGACCAUUCUUGAUACACACGGGAAACUGUUGAGCGUGAAAAACCCAGCAGCGUUGCAGUUCUUGACACAAACCGGUGCGCCUGGCACCUACUGUACUAUCAUACCCCAUUCAAAGGCACUUAAAAAUGUUGUCUUGCCCAUUCACCCUCUGAAUGGCACACAUGCACCAUCCAUGUCUCAGUUGUCUUAAGGCUUAAAAAUCCUUCUUAAACCUGUCUCCUCCCCUUCAUCUACACUGAUGGAAGUGGAUUUAACAAGUGACAUCAAUAAGGGAUCAAAGCUUUCACCUGGUCAGUCUAUGUCAUGGAAAGAGCAGGUGUUGUUAAUGUUUUGUACUCAGUGUAUAUCGCUCUCCAUCUCUCUGCCACACAAUCAGAGAUGAUUUCCCAGUUGAGACUGGGCCUUUGAAAGUGAUGACUAAAGAGAACUGGAGCCUGCCAGGCCGUGUUUUUGGAUACUUGGGGACUGGGUUCUAGCGCGGGCCAAGCCAAGAUUAUAAAGAAUGAGCACAGGGGAGAAAAUUAAAUGGCACAUGGCAUAAGGCCACACAAGCACCUCGGCCCUCUGCUCAUCCCAUUCCCAGCAAUCUAUGAUGGAAAUGGAGGGAGAGUUUUUUUUCUUCUCUCACGCCACUUGUGUCCAAGCUGCUCUUGGAAUAAUAUUUAAAUAACCAUAAUAUUUAAAUGAAAUUCUGCUUCUUGUAUUUUUUCUAGAGUUCUAAUUUUUUAGAAAGCUUAUACACGGUCACUAUUUUUAUAGCCAUCUGUGUUAAUCAGGGUAGGCUCUAAUUAUCACCGACCGAAAAAACAACAGACCAUCAAAUAUUAUGGUAAGUCAAACCUUCUUUUUUUUUUUAUGUCAUCCAUUAUAUUUUUGGGACCUAAUAAUGUUCGAUUGGUUGUCCUUUACGAUUGACUUUUUAAAAUAAAGCUUUGGUUAGCAAGCGUUUAAGCAUGAAGAACAAGACCCUCUUGAAUUGAAUGAAGCCGGGAGGGAUUAAAUACAUUUCCUGUUCCUAAUCUGGAAAUUAGCCCUCGAAUGCCAGUGGGAAAAGACAGGCACUUUUCUUGGGGAUUUUUAACCAUUUGAAGGAAACAAUGUGACCGAGACAUGGAACCCGGAACCCAGAGGCCUGGUUGGUUGGGGCUGGGGUUGGGAACAGAACAGAGCAGACAAGGACAGACCAGGACAGAACUUUCAGGUCCAUUAGAGUGGAAUGUGGCUGGGGGUUGGUAUGAGAUAAAACAUGCAGGGGAAAGAGCCUGCCAUCCUUCCCCCCUCAUUGAGCGACCGCGUCCUUGAGGUCCCAUUCAUGGAAUCCCACUAAUGAGAGUGGAAAUGUCAGCUAUGAUACACUCAGAGGAUAGAAGGGAAACAGAGCGCCACACAAAGCUCUUUUAUGAGGCCUGCCUUCUAUUUCCUCUGCACUUGUUUUCCAACUCUUUUAUAACUUGAUUAGUGGGCCCUUUCACACAUUCUCACAUGCAGAAAGAGAGCUAUUUGCUUAUAGAUUAUUUUUAGUAAAGCACAGACUGCCCUCAUUGUAUUGGGUGGUGGUAAUGGUGGUAGUGGUGGUGAUGGUGGUGUAGGGGUUGUAUGGUUAGGGGAUUGGAAUUGAUUGCCUAUCUGAAUGGUGUCUUCCAGUUGGGAAAACACAGACUCUAUAAUGCAUGCUUGGCUGGUCUGUGACAGUGGUGCUUCUACUUUCUUAACAGAGGACCACUGAUGGGGGAGGGCACAGCAAUGACAAUAAUUAUACUGAGAGAGCACAGUUAGUUGAAAGCUAAAAGUGACAUGAAGCUGGUGUGGCUGUUGGGCACACAUGAUGAGCAAGAGCCCACUGGUCUUCAUGUUGUCAUCUCCACUGAAGCAGCUGACCUUGUAGUGCCAAAGAGUAAGAGUAAUGUGUUCCUUGAACUGAUCUGAGAGCCAAAGGACUGGCUGUACACAUGGCAAAGUAGGUUACAUAGUUAAUUAAGAAAACUUGGCUCUAAAUCCGCUAAGUCAAGUUACCCCCCAUAGAGACAGUGGAAAUAACAUUGGGAGAUAGGAAAUCACUAAAUCCUGUGUAAAAUUAUAAAAAGAUGGACCUGUCAAAAACGGAGUCUGGCGCCUACGAGAAUGGCAUUAGAUAAAUUAACCUCCACACGACUCCAGAAGGGGAUGUGUGGUUAGGACAGCCAGCUCUACAUACUGUACAGAGAGAGUUAGAGAGAGAGAGGGGGGGGGGGUAAGAGAGAGAGAGGGGGGUAAGAGAGAGAGAGGGGGGGAGUAAGAGAGUGAGAGAGAGAGAGUGAGACACAGAGAGAGAUUUCCUGGGUUAGCAGGUAAUAGAAUAUCCUUGCAAGGUUUCUGGAUUACAAAGAGAGAGAUGAUCUCAGGUGUGAGGCCCCUUCUCCAUGAAUCUGAUCAAUCAUACUCAGACAGUUCCCCCAGGACAGAAUCGUAAGGAUAUUACACCUGUCUCAUUACCACACUCUUCAACACAGUCUAACCGUCAGGCUGCCUGGGAGUAAAGAGAGAGAGAGAGACAGUGUCAUCUCCACUUUUAUCCAUUUCACUGCCACUGUUUUCUCACAGAAAUAAAUCUACAAUUAUUACUAUCAUUACUGUGUUUUUGCUCCAUUUUAAAUGACUAAUAAUUGUACUUUUCAGAAGUGAUGGUGAACCAUGAGCGGUGCCAAAAACCAUGGUCUAUAAUUUAUAACAUGUCAAUAAAUAAUUCACAACAUAA